rnacentral:rRNA from 1 species
CCUACGGGUGGCAGCAGUGAGGAAUAUUGGUCAAUGGGCGCGAGCCUGAACCAGCAAAGUAGCGUGAAGGAUGACUGCCCUACGGGUUGUAAACUUCUUGUAUAAAGGAAUAAAGUGAGGCACGUGUGCCUUUUUGUAUGUACUUUAUGAAUAAGGAUCGGCUAACUCCGUGCGAGCAGCCGCGGUAAUACGGAGGAUCCGAGCGUUAUCCGGAUUUAUUGGGUUUAAAGGGAGAGUAGACGGGUUGUUAAGUCAGUUGUGAAAGUUUGCGGCUCAACCGUAAAAUUGCAAUUGAUACUGGCAGCCUUGAGUACAGUUGAGGUAGGCGGAAUUCGUGGUGUAGCGGUGAAAUGCGUAGAUAUAACGAAGAACUCCGAUUGCGAAGGCAGCUUACUAAACUGCCACUGACAUUGAUGCUCGAAAGUGUGGGUAUCAAACAGGAUUAGAUACCCCUGUAGUC